GCGAAGGUGGCGGAAUUGGUAGACGCGCUAGCUUCAGGUGUUAGUGUUCUUACGGACGUGGGGGUUCAAGUCCCCCCCCUCGCACUA
rnacentral:tRNA from 2 species